rnacentral:lncRNA from 1 species
UUUCUAGAACUAAUUUGAUUGUACCUGUAACUGAUGCAGGUUCUGGAAAUGUUAGCAAAUUACUAUGGAAGAACACCAACAGAGAAGAAGGGAAUAAUAAAUUUCUGCUCACAGUACCCAGGCAUUGGCCUUCUCAAUGUUGCUGUGAGUUGAUUAUCCUCCUUUAUUCAUUUGACUUGAAUUGUGAAUCUUUACUGUAGUUACUAUCCAUUAAUUGCCUUUGACCUGCAUUUUCUGCGUGAUAAUAACACACAAAUUAGGAACUGGUUGGCCUGAUUUUCGAUUUGUCUAGUCAUGUAGUUCCCUCAAGUUGUCUUAUACAAUGUUUUCAAGGCGUCGCUUAAGCGCCAAGGCGCUGCACACACGACGCCAUAGCAGACGACUCGCCUUAGAUUCCACACUAGUGAGCAGGAGAGCGGGAGGGAGAGAGCAGGCGCGCAGAAGAUUUCACAGCAGUGAGCGGGAGAGCGGGAGGGGAACUCACCUGUGCUGACGGGAGAAGUUGCCGACUGACCACCGCCGAGCCGUGCGGGCCGCGGCAAGGAGCGGCCUGCGGGCCAUGGCCAUCUUCCCCUAAUCGGUACUGGCCUGCAGCAUCCCGCUUCCUCUGUUCCUCUUCCUCCAUCGAGAGAGAGAGAGAGGUGGGUGGAGGCGGAGGCGGAACGGGAGGGAAGAGACCGAGAUGGGUUGAGACGGAAGUCAAAAC